CCCUGGGCACUGUCACUGCCUGGGGUAGAACAAAAACAGAACCUGGUCAGAUCCCACAGAAGAUGUGGCUAGAGGAGGAAUUGUGGGGUGGGUGAGCUCCCCCAUGGGCUCCCAAACACAAUAUCCCAAGGACCUCAGGCAUCAGCCUCCUUCAUACUUACUUGCAGCCUGAGUGUAACUCCCUCCUUUUCUAUCUGUGGGAAGAAAAUGUCCUGUGAGAUACCAGAAAGGAGCCAGGGCCUUAAGGUCCUAGAGGAACCUCCUAGUCUUGGACCCCAGAGAAGUUUCCAGAAAUGUGUGACUGCAGACCCAGGGCGGGAUCAGGAAACAUGAAGAAAGCAGGUGUGGGUCCUGGACCAAUAGCCCUCCUGAGGUCUGUCCUCAGGGACCUUCCCCUGUGACUUGUGACUGCUGGGAUCAGGUCCCAUCACCGCCGUAAUCAAGGUGAUAAAUCUGUCCUUCAUUUUAACAGGUGCUUUACAAAAGAGUAAGUGCUGGCACACAGGGCCCAGGCUGGGUAGGCCCAUGAGUGUGGAUGGUGCUUCCCAGUAACCAGGCAGGACACACUUCUAACUGGGGCUUGAAACCCUCAGUGGGACAAGAAAUCUCAGACCCCACUCCUCAUCCAUUCCUUACCUGAGUUCUUCUUCCUGCACAUCACAGCAGAAACCACAGCUCCAGUGACUACAGCUCCAAGGAGAACCAGGCCAGCAACGAUACCCACGAUGGGGAUGGUGGGCUGAGAAGACUGCUCUGGGAAAAAAGGGGAAGAAGGCACCACCACAGCUGCCCACUUCUGGAAGUUUCCAUCCCCUGCAGGCCUGGUCUCUACAAGCUCCAUGUCCCGAGUC